AUUGAACGCUGGCGGCAUGCCUUACACAUGCAAGUCGAACGGUAACGGGCCUUCGGGUGCCGACGAGUGGCGAACGGGUGAGUAAUGCAUCGGAACGUACCUUUCAGUGGGGGAUAACGUAGCGAAAGUUGCGCUAAUACCGCAUAUUCUGUGAGCAGGAAAGCAGGGGAUCGCAAGACCUUGCGCUGAUUGAGCGGCCGAUGUCAGAUUAGCUAGUUGGUGAGGUAAAGGCUCACCAAGGCGACGAUCUGGAGCGGGUCUGAGAGGAUGAUCCGCCACACUGGAACUGAGACACGGUCCAGACUCCUACGGGAGGCAGCAGUGGGGAAUUUUGGACAAUGGGGGCAACCCUGAUCCAGCCAUGCCGCGUGAGUGAAGAAGGCCUUCGGGUUGUAAAGCUCUUUCGGCCGGGAAGAAAUCGUAUGGGCUAAUACCCUGUGCGGAUGACGGUACCGGCAUAAGAAGCACCGGCUAACUACGUGCCAGCCGCCGCCGUAAAAC
rnacentral:rRNA from 1 species